rfam:Schistosoma curassoni strain Dakar, Senegal genome assembly, scaffold: SCTD_scaffold0003837
AUCCAGCUGAUGAGUCCAAAAACGGACAAAACGCGCAUUCUGGAU